CAAUCGUUUACAGUUAAGCAAAGAUGAAAGUAUUUCAAGUAGUAUUUAUCGUGGCUUGCAUUAUUGCUGCCGUUUCCUCUAGCCCAGGCCAUAACGAUAUAAAUGGAAAUGGCAAUCAGGGAAA